rnacentral:rRNA from 1 species
GAUGAACGCUGGCGGCGUGCCUAAUACAUGCAAGUCGAGCGAGCUUGCCUAGAUGAUUUUAGUGCUUGCACUAAAUGAAACUAGAUACAAGCGAGCGGCGGACGGGUGAGUAACACGUGGGUAACCUGCCUCAUACAGGGGGAUAACAGUUAGAAAUGGCUGCUAAUACCCCAUAAGACCACAGCACCGCAUGGUGCAGGGGUAAAAACUCCGGUGGUAUGAGAUGGACCCGCGUCUGAUUAGGUAGUUGGUGGGGUAACGGCCUACCAAGCCGACGAUCGGUAGCCGACCUGAGAGGGUGACCCGGCCACGAAGGGGACUGAGACACGGCCCUU